CUACCGGCCCGUCACUCACAGACACAUGUCAGUCGAGACGUGACGUGCAUGGUGCAUCCGUCACUUAAUCACUUAGCGGCGGACGGGUGAGUAAUGCUUAGGAAUCUGCCUAUUAGUGGGGGACAACAUUUCGAAAGGAAUGCUAAUACCGCAUACGUCCUACGGGAGAAAGCAGGGGAUCUUCGGACCUUGCGCUAAUAGAUGAGCCUAAGUCGGAUUAGCUAGUUGGUGGGGUAAAGGCCUACCAAGGCGACGAUCUGUAGCGGGUCUGAGAGGAUGAUCCGCCACACUGGGACUGAGACACGGCCCAGACUCCUACGGGAGGCAGCAGUGGGGAAUAUUGGACAAUGGGCGCAAGCCUGAUCCAGCCCAUGCCGCGUGUGUGAAGAAGGCCUUAUGGUUGUAAAGCACUUUAAGCGAGGAGGAGGCUACUGAAGUUAAUACCUUCAGAUAGUGGACGUUACUCGCAGAAUAAGCACCGGCUAACUCUGUGCCAGCAGCCGCGGUAAUACAGAGGGUGCAAGCGUUAAUCGGAUUUACUGGGCGUAAAGCGCGCGUAGGCGGCUAAUUAAGUCAAAUGUGAAAUCCCCGAGCUUAACUUGGGAAUUGCAUUCGAUACUGGUUAGCUAGAGUGUGGGAGAGGAUGGUAGAAUUCCAGGUGUAGCGGUGAAAUGCGUAGAGAUCUGGAGGAAUACCGAUGGCGAAGGCAGCCAUCUGGCCUAACACUGACGCUGAGGUGCGAAAGCAUGGGGAGCAAACAGGAUUAGAUACCCUGGUAGUCCAUGCCGUAAACGAUGUCUACUAGCCGUUGGGGCCUUUGAGGCUUUAGUGGCGCAGCUAACGCGAUAAGUAGACCGCCUGGGGAGUACGGUCGCAAGACUAAAACUCAAAUGAAUUGACGGGGGCCCGCACAAGCGGUGGAGCAUGUGGUUUAAUUCGAUGCAACGCGAAGAACCUUACCUGGCCUUGACAUAGUAAGAACUUUCCAGAGAUGGAUUGGUGCCUUCGGGAACUUACAUACAGGUGCUGCAUGGCUGUCGUCAGCUCGUGUCGUGAGAUGUUGGGUUAAGUCCCGCAACGAGCGCAACCCUUUUCCUUAUUUGCCAGCGAGUAAUGUCGGGAACUUUAAGGAUACUGCCAGUGACAAACUGGAGGAAGGCGGGGACGACGUCAAGUCAUCAUGGCCCUUACGGCCAGGGCUACACACGUGCUACAAUGGUCGGUACAAAGGGUUGCUACCUAGCGAUAGGAUGCUAAUCUCAAAAAGCCGAUCGUAGUCCGGAUUGGAGUCUGCAACUCGACUCCAUGAAGUCGGAAUCGCUAGUAAUCGCGGAUCAGAAUGCCGCGGUGAAUACGUUCCCGGGCCUUGUACACACCGCCCGUCACACCAUGGGAGUUUGUUGCACCAGAAGUAGGUAGUCUAACCGCAAGGAGGACGCUACCUCGGUGCCCAUUGUC
rnacentral:rRNA from 1 species